rnacentral:rRNA from 1 species
AUUGAACGCUGGCGGAAUGCUUUACACAUGCAAGUCGAACGGCAGCACGGACUUCGGUCUGGUGGCGAGUGGCGAACGGGUGAGAAAUACAUCGGAACGUGCCCAAUCGUGGGGGAUAACGUAGCGAAAGCUACGCUAAUACCGCAUACGAUCUAAGGAUGACAGCGGGGGAUCGCAAGACCUCGCGCGAUUGGAGCGACCGAUGGCAGAUUAGGUAGUUGGUAGGGUAAAGGCCUACCAAGCCGACGAUCUGUAGCUGGUCUGAGAGGAUGAUCAGCCACACUGGGACUGAGACACGGCCCAGACUCCUACGGGAGGCAGCAGUGGGGAAUUUUGGACAAUGGACGCAAGUCUGAUCCAGCCAUUCCGCGUGCAGGUUGAAGGCCCUCGGGUUGUAAACUGCUUUUGUACAGAACGAAAAGGCUCUGGUUAAUACCUAGGGCUCAUGACGGUACUGUAAGAAUAAGCACCGGCUAACUACGUGCCAGCCGCCGCCGUAA